rnacentral:misc_RNA from 1 species
GAAAUGCGAUACGUAAUGUGAAUUGCAGAAUUCAGUGAAUCAUCGAAUCUUUGAACGAAUAUUGCGCUAUUUGGUAUUCCGAAGAGCAUGCUUGUUUGAGUAUCAGUAAACACCUCAACCCUACUACCUUUCUCGGGCUAGUCGGGCUGGAUUUGAGCAAACCCAACAAAUAGUCUUUGGCGGGUUGCUUGAAAUGCAGGUGCAGCUGUAACAAGAACAGACUGAGCUAAAAGCAUAUCCAUUUAGUCCGCAUUUGUGGAUUAUCUAUUUGCUGCAGCUACUCUAAGGUCGUCUUGUAUGAGCUGACUGAUGCAGGAUUUGUAGCUCCUCUCUGAGGACUUCAAAACUCGAUCUCAAAUCAAGUAAGACUACCCGCUGAACUUAAGC